rnacentral:rRNA from 1 species
GACGAACGCUGGCGGCGUGCCUAAUACAUGCAAGUCGAACGCUUCUUUCCUCCCGAGUGCUCGCACUCAAUUGGAAAGAGGAGUGGCGGACGGGUGAGUAACACGUGGGUAACCUACCCAUCAGAGGGGGAUAACACUUGGAAACAGGUGCUAAUACCGCAUAACAGUUUAUGCCGCAUGGCAUAAGAGUGAAAGGCGCUUUCGGGUGUCGCUGAUGGAUGGACCCGCGGUGCAUUAGCUAGUUGGUGAGGUAACGGCUCACCAAGGCCACGAUGCAUAGCCGACCUGAGAGGGUGAUCGGCCACACUGGGACUGAGACACGGCCCAGACUCCUACGGGAGGCAGCAGUAGGGAAUCUUCGGCAAUGGACGAAAGUCUGACCGAGCAACGCCGCGUGAGUGAAGAAGGUUUUCGGAUCGUAAAACUCUGUUGUUAGAGAAGAACAAGGACGUUAGUAACUGAACGUCCCCUGACGGUAUCUAACCAGAAAGCCACGGCUAACUACGUG